rnacentral:rRNA from 1 species
AGUGAACGCUGGCGGCAGGCCUAAUACAUGCAAGUCGAGCGGGGAGCAAUCCCAGCGGCGAACGGGUGAGUAACACGUGGGUAAUGUGCCUUCUGGUGGGGAAUAACCUUGGGAAACCAGGGCUAAUACCGCAUAUCGUGCUUCGGCAUGAAAGCCUUCGGGCGCCAGUAGAGCAGCCUGCGUCCCAUUAUUUAGUCCUAGUUGGUAGGGUAAUGGCCUACCAAGGGUACGAUGGGUAGCUGGUCUGAGAGGAUGAUCAGCCACACUGGAACUGAGACACGGCCCAGACUCCUACGGGAGGCAGCAGUGGGGAAUUUUGGACAAUGGGCGCAAGCCUGAUCCAGCCACGCCGCGUGCGGGAAGAAGGCCU